GACGAACGCUGGUGGCGUGCUUAACACAUGCAAGUCGAGCGGUAAGGCCCUUUCGGGGGUACACGAGCGGCGAACGGGUGAGUAACACGUGGGUGACCUGCCCUUAGCUCUGGGAUAAGCCUGGGAAACUGGGUCUAAUACCGGAUAUGACUCCAUGACGCAUGUUGUGGGGUGGAAAGCCUUGUGCGGCUAGGGGAUGGGCCCGCGGCCUAUCAGCUUGUUGGUGGGGUGAUGGCCUACCAAGGCGACGACGGGUAGCCGGCCUGAGAGGGCGACCGGCCACACUGGGACUGAGACACGGCCCAGACUCCUACGGGAGGCAGCAGUGGGGAAUCUUGCGCAAUGGGCAAAGCCUGACGCAGCGACGCCGCGUGAGGGAUGACGGCCUGGUGUAAC
rnacentral:rRNA from 1 species